AGCGUCACCUCAUUGUUUCUUUUUGUUUCCAAAAGUAACAGCCGAAUCACACCUACCGGCAACCGUAGAAGUCGGAAGACCAUCCGUCCUCGCCACCCCAUCCAUCGCCGCGCCUCCUCAUAGAAUCUGCAGAGCCGCCGAGCCGGAGAUACGACAGGCAGCAAGUGCACAUCCAGGAGCGGCGCUACCAGCUGAUCCAAUUUAAGGGGUGCCCGGUGAUCCUUCCCUUGUGUGGUUCGAGAUGGGGCCGCCGCACAUAGCCGGCGCUCAUCCAGGAGCAGCGGCACCGGCUGCUCCAACUGAUGGGGGCGUCCGGUGACCCUUCUCCCGUGUGAUUUGAGAUGGGGUCGUCAGGUUCUCCUGUCGCACGGUCCAGAUCUGACGGGGCCACAUCAGCCUCCACGGCAAAGCCUCGGACUGGAGGCGUCCACCAGUUCAUGAUGAGGUAGGAGUUCGAGCUCCACAAGGCUGGUACAGGGCGAAAGCUUACUGUGCAGCAGUUCGAGCUAUUCAUCAGCCGCUCCCCCAGUCUCAUUCUCUUCACGGGCAUUGUUCUCUGUCGGUUAGGUCCUCCAGCUUCUAGGUCGCAGGGUUACUACAAGCAACAAUAAUUCCUUGUGAUUUAUCGAAUGAUGAUAAAAUUUGUAGAGCAACUGGGCUCAUUGUUGUGAUCUACCAUCGUCAACGACAUUGAUAUUUCACACCCAUCUCAAUCUGGUGCCGCCUGUGUUGGCCAUGAUACAUCUGCAGCCCUUGAAGUCGUGUUUGCUCUCUGUGCUAGGCUGCAGUCUUUCUUGAGGCGUCCGUUUAUACCGCCCCACCCAUCCAGGUUUCAAUUGAAGAGGAACAAGUGUAUAGCCUACAGGUGGUUCUUCAAUCCAAUGAUUUUCCUCAUAUGUUUCUAAGAUAAAUAGUCACUAUUUUCUGUUAUACCUAUGGAUUUUAAUUUCUGUUAUACAAUAUUUGUCUCCAUGCAAUCCAAAUGCUAUACAUCAUCAA